rnacentral:rRNA from 1 species
GACGAACGCUGGCGGCGUGCCUAAUACAUGCAAGUCGAGCGCAGGAAACUGACGGAACUCUUCGGAGGGAAGGCAGUGGAAUGAGCGGCGGACGGGUGAGUAACACGUAAGGAACCUGCCUCAAGGAUUGGGAUAACUCCGAGAAAUCGGAGCUAAUACCGGAUAGUUCAACGGACCGCAUGGUCCGCUGAUGAAAGGCGCUCCGGCGUCACCUUGAGAUGGCCUUGCGGUGCAUUAGCUAGUUGGUGGGGUAACGGCUCACCAAGGCGACGAUGCAUAGCCGACCUGAGAGGGUGAUCGGCCACACUGGGACUGAGACACGGCCCAGACUCCUACGGGAGGCAGCAGUAGGGGAUCUUCCACAAUGGACGAAAGUCUGAUGGAGCAACGCCGCGUGAGUGAUGAAGGUUUUCGGAUCGUAAAACUCUGUUGUAAGGGAAGAACACGUACGAGAGGGAAUGCUCGUACCUUGACGGUACCUUACGAGAAAGCCACGGCUAACUACGUGCCAGCCGCCGCCGUAACAC